rnacentral:lncRNA from 1 species
AAACACAGUGAGUGUGUCUGGGGGAACGAUCGAACAAGGAAGGAGGAGGGGGAAACCCUAAACUCAAGAAAUCAGGCAAUUGAAGCCUAAAAUCAUAAGAAAAUCCAGUGCAUGAGCCAUCUUAUCGAUCAUCUAAGCAUACCUAGUGAAGUGCUGGAAAGAAUAAGAACCAUGUCAAGAUGGACCAACUCAUGGGAAGCAAACGGGUCAAAGAGGAGGCAAAGAAACUAGCAUAAACAUGACGAGCACAAGGUAAGUGAUUUCUAUAAUCACUUCUUUAGUUGUUUAAGUAAUAUAAUGUUUUAAUUAUUAAGUUCAUAUGAAGUUGAGGUCAAAUCAAUAGAUUAUUUUGAUAAAUGCACGAAUGGGUCGAAUAAUUCAUAGAUAAAUAACAAGCCGAAUACGUAUAAGUUAAGAAAUUCCUUAACUCGGAUGUUGGACUUCAAGGUCACAUGAUAGAAUAUUAAAUUACAAUCAUAUAGGAAGAAACGUGACGCAAAACGGAUGAAAAAUGAGAGAGUUAUGUCCGUUUCGGUAAGGAUUAAUGGCUACGAAAAGUGCAGAGUUGACACGGCCGGGUGGUGAACUGACACGGCCGGGUGAAGGUUCUGUCAAAAAUAUUAUUUAUGUGAUUUAUGCGCCGUAGGUUGCGGUAUAUUAUCCGUGAAUUACGACGGGCCUCCCAAACAUGAUUUCGAGUGUUUCCUUGACGAUUAUAAGUUGUAAACCCAAGUCUAAGCCUCAUGUAAUUUAUAUAAGAGUGUGUUAGAUGUAUGUAAUGGGGUUGGACAUGUAUUACAUGUAAAUGUAUACAAAAAUACGUACGGAACACGUAGGUAUGAAUACAUGAUUGUAGGUAUGAUUAAAUGUAUUCUAGGUAUGUAGAUGUGUAUGAUUGUAAGAUUGUAUGUGUGCAAGUAUGUGCGAAUGCAUGAUUUGGAUGCACUUGAGAAUUAGCGUUACUAAUAAUGCCCUUGGGUUUGGAAUAUAAGUUAAUUGGAUGCAUUUAAAUGGUUGACGUCCUUUUUAUGAAGAUGUAGUAAAUGAAUAUGUUGAGAUUACGGGUUUGGCUAACCAAGUUAUUAUUGAGUAUGUUUGAAAGUGCAGGUUAUGAAUGUCGGACUUUCAAAGUGUUGAUAUAAUAAUGAAACGGUUGAAUCUUGAAAGGAUAAUCGGAUUGAAGUAACUUAUGCGGUUAGAAUAUGCUGUGGACGUUUUAGUUUAUACAACAUUUUAUGUUUGGUCGUCAUCAUCUACCAACGGGUUAGUUGUUUGAAAAUAUAUGUCAUACCCAUUUAAUUGGGUAAUCGAAUGCGCGAGAGAAAUGAAAGUACAUACACGAAUGGAACUAAAGUGACGGUUUUAUAAGUAAAUAAGUAAAUGACUAACUUUUUAAAGCUUUGUUGUUGAAUGUAGGUAAAUCCUCAAUUCAGGCGACUUGGAGAAUCGGAGCGAGCGCGUGUUCAUGUUAUGUCAUACCAAACGCUUCCGCUAGCUUGUUCAAAUGUUUUUAGUCCAAAAUUUGUUGUAUUGGUUCUUAGUAGUAUUUUGUCGAAUGAAUCGAAGAAUUGUAUCUAGUUUGAUUAUGUUUAAAACAGGGGAAUGCUCGUUUUAUGGACGGGUCAUGCCCAAUUUUUGUUAAAUUAAUGCACCUGCGUUAUU